UGAACAGGGUAUAGCCCAGCGCAGAAGCUCGUGUCCCCCAACCGGGCACGAGCGGUGUUGCGUUCCGGAGGGUCCAGCACGCCGUCCCAUACCGCCUAAGUCAAGCUUGAACGCGGCCACUACCCAUGGAGGGUGACAGGCCCGUAUGGCGGCGCCCGCGAGGGUACAGAUGGGGCGGUCGGAAAGGGCCUCUCUCCGUAGAGUCGGGUUGCUUGAAAAUGCAGCCCAAAGUAGGUGGUAAACUCCAUCUAAGGCUAAAUAUGACCACGAGACCGAUAGCGAACAAGUACCGUGAGGGAAAGUUGAAAAGAACUUUGAAGAGAGAGUUCAAGAGUACGUGAAACCGUCAAGAGCCAAACGGGUGGAGGCUCGAAGGUCGAAUUGAGGGGAUUCAGCUCGUCGUCAGCUUGGCUGGUGGGAGAUGUCACGGCACGACCCUACUGCUCACUUGGGCGUCCCUCCUAACCAAGCCGGCGUCGGCGGGCGUACUUCGCCUCGUAGUAGGUCGCCGCGACCCGUUGAAUUUGGGGACGUCUAAGGCCCGAACGGAUUGGUACCCCGCCGCCUGCCUUUCUCUCUCACGAGAGGGGGUCCGGCGACUGGGGGAAACCCUCGGUGUCCUGGCUGCCCUGCGACGGUCGUUGAGAUGAGCCCUCCCCCCCUCGGUUCCAAAGACCAAGGGGGAGGUCUCUCGCGGCGUGCAAAAGGUCGGCGCUCCACCCGUCCCGUCUUGAAACACGGGCCAAGGAGUCCAACAUGUGUGCGAGUCAUUGGGCGCACUAAACCCAAAGGCGCAAUGAAAGUGAGACGGCUUGGCGUGACGAAGGCGGGGGCGGGGGUGUUGGGAGGUCAACGCAGCUGCGGUCGGUCGAUUUCGGUCUUCUGCAGUUGCUCGCCUCUUCUUCUUCUUCUUACCCUCUUCCGGAGUCGCGCCGCUGGCCAGGGCCGAUCCCCGACUGGCUGCCUCCAGCUCUUUCCGUCUUUCUCGGCGCGGUCACGCGGGGUGAGUCACUUUCCUCCGCCUCUGCUGCGUCGGGGUUAUCAAAGGCGGGGGUUGGCCGGCGAAGGUCUUUUUAUUCUGUGGAAACCUGCUGAAUGCGACAGGGGGGCGCAGGCCCGGGACUUGCCAGGGACGCCACGCGUUCCCUUAGGCGCGUCUUUUCAGGCGUGCCGAAGGGGGGCGAGUGCGCAGUCGGCAAGUACCAUGAGCAGGCAUGUUGGGACCCGAAAGAUGGUGAACUAUGCCUGGCCAGGAUGAAGCCAGAGGAAACUCUGGUGGAGGUCCGUAGCGAUUCUGACGUGCAAAUCGAUCGUCAGAGCUGGGUAUAGGGGCGAAAGACUAAUCGAACCAUCUAGUAGCUGGUUCCCUCCGAAGUUUCCCUCAGGAUAGCUGGAACUCGCCACCGCAUGAAUUUCAUCCGGUAAAGCGAAUGAUUAGAGGUCUUGGGGACGAAACGUCCUCAACCUAUUCUCAAACUUUAAAUGGGUGAGAUGCCGAGCUUGCUUAAAAGAUGAAGCUUCGGCGACGAAUCGGAGUUGGUAAGCAGNUCUGGCGCUGUGGGAUGAACCAAACGUCGAGUUAAGGGGCCUAAACGAAUGCUCAUUCAGAUCCCAUCGAAAGGUGUUGGUUGCUAUAGACAGCAGGACGGUGGCCAUGGAAGUUGGAAUCCGCUAAGGAGUGUGUAACAACUCACCUGCCGAAGCAACUAGCCCUUAAAAUGGUAUGGCGCUCAAGCAUUCUCCCGAUACUCGACCGCCGGGGCACUACCGACCGCCGAGCGGACUACCUUGUCCGUUUCAGGUCUCGAAGCCCCGGCGAGUAGGAGGGUCGCGGUGGUGUGCGCUGAAGGGUUCGGCGUAAGCCGGCCUGGAGCCUCCACCGGUGCAGAUCUUGGUGGUAGUAGCAAAUAAUCGAGAGAGACUCCCUUGAAGGCCGAAGUGGAGAAGGGUUCCAUGUGAACAUCAGUUGGACAUGGGUUAGUCGCUCCUAAGCCCAAGGCGAAAGCCUGAUCCCACGUUAGAGGCAACGACCAAACGAAGGGGGAAAGAGGGGG
rnacentral:rRNA from 1 species